CCUACGGGGGGCUGCAGUCGAGAAUCAUUCACAAUGGGGGAAACCCUGAUGGUGCGACGCCGCGUGGGGGAAUGAAGGUCUUCGGAUUGUAAACCCCUGUCAUGUGGGAGCAAAUUAAAAAGAUAGUACCACAAGAGGAAGAGACGGCUAACUCUGUGCCAGCAGCCGCGGUAAUACAGAGGGCUCAAGCGUUGUUCGGAAUCACUGGGCGUAAAGCGUGCGUAGGCUGUUUCGUAAGUCGUGUGUGAAAGGCGCGGGCUCAACCCGCGGACGGCACAUGAUACUGCGAGACUAGAGUAAGGGAGGGGGAACCGGAAUUCUCGGUGUAGCAGUGAAAUGCGUAGAUAUCGAGAGGAACACUCGAGGCGAAGGCGGGUUCCUGGACAUUAACUGACGCUGAGGCACGAAGGCCAGGGGAGCGAAAGGGAUUAGAUACCCGGGUAGUC
rnacentral:rRNA from 1 species